ACUUAUUUUUACUCUUCAUCUUAUUAAAAAAAAUUUUGAUUGAUAUUUUUAUUUUUAUUAGAUGAUAAAUCAUGAAUAGUAUUUUACGUGUGACUAAAUUUUUUUAAUUUCCUAAAAAAUUUUAAAUAAGACGGAUGGUCAAACGUUGGACACGGAAACC
rnacentral:pre_miRNA from 1 species